CCCCGCGCCCCGGAGAGUGGGCGCCCCGCGGCCGGCGGCCGGGGAUGCGGCGGCGGCGGCUAACGGUCCAGGCCGGCGGGAGCCGCUAGGCGGAGAGAGGCCAGGUUACUUCGUAAGGUGUUGCUACAGAUCACAAAGCAUGCCGACAAGAAGCCAAAUCCUUUUAUCCCUAGGUCAUUUUAAGGACUUCCACCCU